rnacentral:lncRNA from 1 species
AUUCCUUGGUAGAUGCUGGGAUUGUACUGUUAUGAAUAUGGAUGCGCAAAUAUGCCUUUGAGAGCCUGAUUUUAAUUCUUAUGGAUAAAUAUCCAGAAGGGGGAUUGCUGCAUCAUAUGCUGCUGUGAAAAGGGUUGAAUUCUUGAUUUGAUUCUCAGCUUGAAGUCUGCAUAGCCAAAGCAAGACUAAGCAAAAAGAACAAAUCUGGAGGUAUCACAUUACCCAACUUCAAACUACUACAGAGCUGUAGCUACUGAAACAUGAUGGCAAAGGUAUAAAAACAGACAUGUAGACCAAUGGAACAACAUAGAGAAUCCAGAAAUAAAAUUGAAUACUUAUAGCCAUCUGAUCUUUGACAAAACAAACAAAAACAUAAAGCGGAGAAAGGACAGCCUAUUCAACCAUUGGUGCUGGGAUAAUUGACAAGCCACAUGUAGUAGAAUGGUACUGAAUUCACAUCUCUCACCUUAUAAGAUAGAUGAAGGAAUUAAAUCUAAGACCUGAAACAAUAAAAAUUCUAGAAGAUAACAUCAGAAAGUCUUUUCUAGACAUUGGCUUAGACAAGGACUUCAUGACCAAGAACCCAAAAGCAAAUACAACAAAAACAAACAUAGAUCGACGUGACUUAAACUAAAAAUCUUCUGCACAGCAAAAGAAAUAAUCAGCUGAGUAAACAGACA